AAAGUACAGAGAGUUUCUUACGGCCGAAGCUGCCCUCCUCGAUUUUUGUACUCAGCGGUCACCAGAUAUUUUGACACCCGGUACGCUGGUACUGGAGCCUUUUCGAAAAAGGCUUCUCCUUUUUGGAAUUCCAGCCAGAAUGCAGUCCCAGGUACGGUGCCAUAAUGGUUUUACUAAUUGUCGGCCACCUCUAGCUGCUUGCCAUGAUGAGUGGGCCAUGCGGC
rnacentral:lncRNA from 1 species